rnacentral:misc_RNA from 1 species
GAUUGGGGUAGAGUAGACGCUGGAGAGGGCACAAACUAGAGGAGCUGAACAUGUUAACUCAUGUGCUGGGAAGAUGGUCUCAGUCCAGCUCCACCAUGCCACCCCACCCCCUCCCCACCCCAUUCCAGCUCUUCAUUUUAGUUCACACUUCACCGUAAGGAUGCUUGGAUUUGGCCAAUUCUAUCCAUGGUUCAGGUCACUUCCUGACAGUAGCUGUAGGAGUGGACCUUGUUUUCCCUAGUCCCUUCCCUCAGGCCCCUUCCCUCAGGCCCCUUCCCUAAGGCCCACGGUGUUGUUGAAAAGGAGACAGCAGUCAGUGAAUCUCGUGUCAAGCUUUAUUUGGCAGGUGGCUUUGCUCAGUACUCAGAUCUCGUGGCUCCUUGGCAGCUCAGGGCUCAGACAUCGACAUGGAAUGGUGGUGUGGCCUCACAUGAUGUUGCUUGGGCAGCAGGCUCCUGUUUUUCAUCGGACGGUGGCAUUUUUCAAGAUGUGGCGAGAUGCUCUUGAAGUCUGGUAAAAUUCUCACGCAGGAGUUUUGAUGGACUUGCUAUUCUGUGCAUCUAGUAUUUUUUACACCUUAUGGUGUAUGAGCGGCGGCGACGGCAGCAUCCUAGAAAGCAUCGCCUCCUCCGUCUGCGACAUCUUCGCCUGCGACGGCGGCAUCUGCUCCUGCUUUUGCUGCGGCAGCAUCGGUAUCUGGCCAUGGUGCUGGCUUGGCCGGGAGCUGGCUCAGAGCAGGGGACACCACCUGGGUCGAGCCAGCCAACCUGUGAGCAGGCACCUUCUUGACAGCUGCUUCUUGGUGUUUCUGAAGUGUCUAAAGAUGCAGAGGGGACUGCGAAGCGGGAGUGAGUAGAUAUGUGCGGAUGUGAAAAGUGCCCAGUAUGGAGAAGGCCUCAAACAAACAGCACCUUUCCCAUCAAAAAAAAAAAAAAAAAAAAAAAAAAAAAAAA